AAUGACCUUGUCCUGCAGGGGAAGACAGACCUACCAACUGCAGUGAUCUGUAGCUCAAGCACCUGCUUGUGAAGAUCAACCAUCACAGUAUCAGUCCAAGAUUUUCUGGCUGGACAUUCAAAAUAAGUUUGGAUGAUUCUGGGCUUCUUGCUGUUGACCCAGGAGAAUUAAUCUAGAGUUCUGGAGGCAAGAUGGAAAGGAUGACUUCAUGAAAAAUUUGUUGCAAAAUUUGCUAUCCUUCCUAUCUUGGCCUUAAGUGAAGAUGUAGGUUGACCAAUUUGAUUUGGCUCGUUGCAGCUUCGGAGGAAGACUGGACAACAUGAAAAAGACAGCAGGUCUGCUUGCUGUAAAAGGAAAAAAAAGGAGUGGCAUUACUGUUUUGAUUACUUUUUUGUCRGUAUGACCUUUCAUUUGCUAAUAGGAAUAUAUGUAUCUGAAAUAUAGAUCAAUCUUCUCAUGUAGAGACUCUCUGUUUACCCUGCACGAUGAUAUGGUGAUGCUCAAUUUUCUUACUUUGCUUGUUCCAAAAGGGAACAGUUUUCCACUUUGGACAGCCAAUGGGAUCUAUGUAUUUCAAUUCAUUACAUUUCAUGAAAUGUCCAUCUUGCAAAAGCUAUGGAGUGGUUCGUAGUGCAAUAUUGCUUCUCUAUUAAAAACAAAAUGGRCCUUUAUCUUACUGUUCUUCUCUUGGAACAAUCUUUAGUGACCAAAAGUAAGUGAGAAUAUUUCAGAAUCUGAGUUUUGUUUGUCUUUAAUAUCUGUCUCCAUUUUUAAACUCUAUUUCAUACAGUCUGCUUGUUAUAAAAUCUUAGAUAAGUGUCUGGAGCAUAAGCUGAAUUGCUUAAACCACAGUGGUCCCUAGCUUUGCUAGAUAUGUCUUGAGAUCUGUGUUCAUGUUCCAGAGAUCUAAACUCAAGGUCACUCAUUUUGGRGAACACUGUUAGAUUCUAAAUGAAAAAUACUUUCUCUACAAAAGUAAGAAGAAUGUUGUGAUUUAUUUAUUUUUAGCAAGUAAAUUUUUGAUCUGCUGUUUAGGUUCAUGCCUCCUAAUGUGAYCUUUGAAUAGUAAAAUUUACAUUUUAAUUGUGCAAGAUAAAGUUUAGUGUUGGUUAACACUUAACAUUGCUUGCCAACAAAUAUUAGAAAAAGUACUUCUCUUUUUUCCUUUUUU